ACAGCAUUAUCUAUAUUCUAGAGUCAGUUUACUGAAGUCCUAAGACAUCUAUGUUCCAGAUAAGUGGGGUUCCCCUAAACUUGUGAAAAUAUCCUCGAGAAAGCCAAUGCCAAUGCACCGAAUGCAACGAGUUUCAUUUCUAACCUGGGGGACUGAAUUAGCUGCUCCUCCUCAAGGCCCCACACAGCUGAGUUUGAGUCCUAAGUUUGGGAAGCAAGACAAGGCACAGAAGUGCCUGCUAGACUCGGACACUUCCUGAUGUCUAGAUUGUCCGGUGCCCAUGUCUUAGUGAAAGGUACAGCGACAGAACUAAGAGUGCAGAGAAGGCCAAAUCACGGACUUCAAUGUUGGCAAACCGGGUUUCCCUGGGAGAGAUCCAAGGAGAGUAACGCCCCCACAGUAUCAGGAGGCGCAGACACAGAUCACAUCGUUUGAGCUGAUUCACCAAAGAGUGCAGAGCCCUGACACAGGAGGCUACCAGGGCAGAACAAAACAAGCCAUCGUCUGCCCGGCGUCGCCCUUGUAGACGCACAGUGCGCAAACCGUGAAUGUGGGGCAGUGUGGGGCCAAGCGGUGCGCUUGGUACGCUCCAAAUGAGCCCUGGGCGAAGCAGGGAGGAAAUGCAGUUCCCAAGGGCCCGCCACAUUUCCCAUGUUCUUUAGCCUUCCACCGGCAAUUAGUGCCAUCACUUGCUUCCCGCUAGGUGACCACUUAACCUGCGGAAAGGCGUUCCAAGGGCGGGGCCUGCGGGAACCUAACACUCUUUCCACCACCCUCUCUCCCUGCCUCUGUGCACGACCUCGACCAGCUGGUCGCCUGAUCUCGUUUAGCAGGGCAGGAGCCUGUGUUCCCAUUUCUUACUAGCUGGGCUGCCGAUGACCUAGCUCAGCCUUGGUUUUCCUCCGGUUGAACAAAAGCUGGCAAGAGCUGCCUCCCGGAUCGCAGUGAGGACUCUAAGGGAACGAGGGCGAACGCGCUUUGGAAAGCCAGUUGCUGAGCAGAUGGUAAGGGAUCACUUCCAAGAGCCAGGGCUAGUUUCAUUUCAGUCUUGGACACGAGAUGGUCUCAAUGCCUUCAUUAAUGAACAUUCUCCUUAGAAGUCUGGAGAACUGACCCAAGAAGAAGGACCAACAAUUCAGGCUCAGGAAAGCCCACAAUUCCACAGGGGAACCAGGACUGCAUGGCUUCGAAUCCCAGCCCUCCCCACUCAGGAAACAUUGCUCCCCAAACGGCACGGAUUUCUGGACGCCUCCACCUUAAGACAGCUACUUCAGCCAGAACGUGGGACAGGCACUAACGGGAUAUCACCCUUGGGGAUAAACACGCUCCAGUUUCCUGUGGACGGUGGAAGAGGAAAGAACAGGAGAAGCUGCCAAAGGGAUGGGGUGUAGGAAGCUCAUCCUUGCACGUUUAGACUAGGGAAGAAGAGAAUAUUAGGGAUGGGGGAGGGGGGAGGAUGGGAAGUGUAGUUUUUCCCCUUCCUUCCUUUCAUUUCAGAUCCCAUUUAGUGCUUUUAUUUCUUUAAUUUUGAAAACUAUUUCCCUUUCCUGAAUCUGGAUGCGGGCAGGGAGCGAACUCAAGGAAAUGAUGAGCAUGGAUGAGAGCCAGGGGACAGGAGAUAUGUCCUGGGAACUCAAACUCUGCUGCUUCGCCACUGUCUCCGAGAUGCCCUGAGCCUUAGCCCAAUGUAAAGGGAGCUGAUUGGGUGUAUGGGCAGUGGCGGGUGGUCUGAGUAAGAAAUAAAAUGAGGGCAAGCCAGAUCUACUCCCAUCCCAAAGCAUUAAAAGACACACCUCCCCACCCCUCAGCUGUCUUGUGUCCGGCAGAAUGGCAUUAUGUAAAAGAUCUGGCAUGUCACCCAGUGGCACAUCUGGUAGGUGUAGAUGGCAUUCAUUAGCACGGGGCUUCUACUCUGCAGCAUGCCAAAGCUCUGACAGAGAUGCCCGCUGCCAAUCAUUCAUUGGCUGCCAAUCCCCAAGCGCGGCCGGGCGGGAUGGCUUCCUUCCACCCUGGCAUCAGGAGUGGAGGAAACAAUGUGUUGAGAUAGAAGAGAUGAAAGUGGAGCUGAGGAUGCGAGGCACCCAACAGAUGUAUCCCAUGAGGAGAUAACGGUGCUAAAAGUCAUUUAGCAAGAAAGCAUAUGCAGGAUCUCAGGAGGGAGGCUUGGGCAGGGGGUCUGCUUGCCUAGGGCUGAGCUGAAGGAAAAGCAGGGGAGCCCUUUCAGAAACCUGAAAGUUGAGGUUGCUUCUCUAAAAACACACAAAGACCAAAACCUCAACCCCCUAAGUGUAGGAUUUCCCCCUCUCUUUGGUUUGUCACUUGUAUCUCUUUUUAUCUAGCAACCUAACUACCUCUGUAAAGGUCAACCUUUGUCAUGUUUUUUUCUGAGGACCGAGAUGAAGAGCACCUUCCUGUUUUAAAUUUUGCAUAAUUCUCAUAGACUAGUAAUUUGGGGGCUAAGGGGAGGAAGACUGUCAGGCUAUCUUCAGUGCAUCGUAAAAGGCAAAGGUCUUAUUUCCAUUAUUAGCUUUUCAGAGGGGAUAAAGAUGAACAAAGGAAAGCAAGGAAAUUAUUAAAAUGGCAAAGGAAGAUUAAACACAAAAUCCAGGAUAGAGGUUGCCUUUGAGGUUGUUCUUUUUCUUAGGCUGGGUGGCAAUUAACAAAGUGUUCAGCGUAGUUUUUCUUUAUGCCAUAUACAUAUUUUACAUUCUUUUUAUCCAUUCACAACUUAAUAAAGCAACAACAAAACUCAGGGCUUUGAAAGUUUGUGGAACUUGGUGUUUAAGUUGACUCUAACUUAAGCUCUUUAGUUUAUAUAUAUAAUAUAUAUUUGUGUGUAUUAUCUAUACAAUUAUACUCUUUUUAGUAUAUGUUAUAAAAUAUUUGGGACAUAUACUAUAAAUUUAUUCAUAUUUUAUCUAAAACUGAAACUUUAGUUGGCCAUUACAUAUAUUUAUUUGCUAAAUCUAGCAACCUUGGGUAUGUUGGCUCAUGGUCACAAUAUAGCUGCUGUAAUUCCAAGCAUCAAACCAUCGUUUUAAACAUGAAGAAAGGAACAGGGGCAAAAAGCUGUGGUUGUUUGCUUAAUCAAUGAAAAGAAUACUUUCACUUUCAUUAGGCAGACCUGGAUCUCCUGGCCACAUAUACAUGCAAAAGAGUUUGGGAAAAUUAGCCUUUAAAGUAUAAAAAGAUAGCGAUAAAGGACUGGGGAUGGUUGUUGGGUUGCAAUCAAAGGUGUCUGACAAAGAAACCGAAGAUCAAAGAAGAGUUAAUGUUAACAUCAAACAAGAGUAUAGCUUAUCAAGUUUUUUCAUUGUUUUAAAUAAAAGUUUUCUGUUUUCAUUAUUGUGAUUAAAGGGAUACUGUUCUUGA
rnacentral:lncRNA from 1 species